rnacentral:rRNA from 1 species
CAUGCAAGUCGAACGGUGAAGCAGGAGCUUGCUCUUGUGGAUCAGUGGCGAACGGGUGAGUAACACGUGAGCAACCUGCCCCUGACUCUGGGAUAAGCGCUGGAAACGGCGUCUAAUACUGGAUAUGUGACGUGACCGCAUGGUCUGCGUUUGGAAAGAUUUUUCGGUUGGGGAUGGGCUCGCGGCCUAUCAGCUUGUUGGUGAGGUAAUGGCUCACCAAGGCGUCGACGGGUAGCCGGCCUGAGAGGGUGACCGGCCACACUGGGACUGAGACACGGCCCAGACUCCUACGGGAGGCAGCAGUGGGGAAUAUUGCACAAUGGGCGAAAGCCUGAUGCAGCAACGCCGCGUGAGGGAUGACGGCCUUCGGGUUGUAAACCUCUUUUAGCAGGGAAGAAGCGAAAGUGACGGUACCUGCAGAAAAAGCGCCGGCUAACUACGUGCCAGCAGCCGCGGUAAUACGUAGGGCGCAAGCGUUAUCCGGAAUUAUUGGGCGUAAAGAGCUCGUAGGCGGUUUGUCGCGUCUGCUGUGAAAUCCCGAGGCUCAACCUCGGGCCUGCAGUGGGUACGGGCAGACUAGAGUGCGGUAGGGGAGAUUGGAAUUCCUGGUGUAGCGGUGGAAUGCGCAGAUAUCAGGAGGAACACCGAUGGCGAAGGCAGAUCUCUGGGCCGUAACUGACGCUGAGGAGCGAAAGGGUGGGGAGCAAACAGGCUUAGAUACCCUGGUAGUCCACCCCGUAAACGUUGGGAACUAGUUGUGGGGUCCAUUCCACGGAUUCCGUGACGCAGC